rnacentral:rRNA from 1 species
GGCGAACGGGUGAGUAAUACAUCGGAACGUACCCAGUUGCGGGGGAUAGCCCGGCGAAAGCCGGAUUAAUACCGCAUACGCCCUACGGGCGAAAGGGGGGGAUCGCAAGACCUCUCACUAUUGGAGCGGCCGAUGGCUGAUUAGCUAGUUGGUGGGGUAACGGCCUACCAAGGCGACGAUCAGUAGCUGGUCUGAGAGGACGACCAGCCACACUGGGACUGAGACACGGCCCAGACUCCUACGGGAGGCAGCUGUGGGGAAUUUAGGACAAUGGGCGAAAGCCUGAUCCAGCAAUGCCGCGUGUGCGAAGAAGGCCUUCGGGUUGUAAAGCACUUUUGUCAGGGAAGAAAUCGUUUGGGUUAAUACCCCGAGCACUUGACGGUACCUGAAGAAUAAGCACCGGCUAACUACGUGCCAGCAGCCGCGGUAAUACGUAGGGUGCAAGCGUUAAUCGGAUUUACUGGGCGUAAAGCGUGCGCAGGUGGUUUGUUAAGACAGUUGUGAAAUCCCCGGGCUUAACCUGGGAACUGCAAUUGUGACUGGCAGACUAGAGUGAGCCAGAGGGGGGCGGAAUUCCAGGUGUAGCAGUGAAAUGCGUAGAUAUCAGGAGGAACACCG